rnacentral:rRNA from 1 species
UACGGAGGGUGCAAGCGUUAUCCGGAUUCACUGGGUUUAAAGGGUGCGUAGGCGGGUUGGUAAGUCCGUGGUGAAAUCCCCAAGCUUAACUUGGGAACUGCCGUGGAUACUAUCAAUCUUGAAUAUCGUGGAGGUAAGCGGAGUAUGUCAUGUAGCGGUGAAAUGCUUAGAUAUGACAUAGAACACCAAUUGCGUAGGCAGCUUACUACACGAUCAUUGACGCUGAGGCACGAAAGCGUGGGGAGCAAACAGG